rnacentral:rRNA from 1 species
UACGGGGGGGGCAAGCGUUGUUCGGAAUUACUGGGCGUAAAGGGUUUGUAGGUGGCCGAUUAAGUCAUACGUGAAAUCCCUCAGCUUAACUGGGGAACUGCGUCUGAUACUGGUUGGCUUGAGUGCAGGAGAGGAACGCGGAAUUCCAGGUGUAGCGGUGAAAUGCGUAGAUAUCAGGAGGAACACCGGUGGCGAAGGCGGGAUCCUGGGCCAGUACUGACGCUGAGGAGCGAAAGCGUGGGGAGCAAACAGG